rnacentral:rRNA from 1 species
CCUACGGGUGGCAGCAGUGAGGAAUAUUGGUCAAUGGACGCAAGUCUGAACCAGCCAUGCCGCGUGCAGGAAGACGGCCCUAUGAGUUGUAAACUGCUUUUGUACGAGGGUAAACGCAGAUACGCGUAGCUUUUUGAAAGUACCGUACGAAUAAGGAUCGGCUAACUCCGUGCCAGCAGCCGCGGUAAUACGGAGGAUUCAAGCGUUAUCCGGAUUUAUUGGGUUUAAAGGGUGCGUAGGCUGUCCGAUAAGUUAGAGGUGAAAUGUCGGGGCUUAACCCCGGGACUGCCUCUGAUACUGUUGGACUAGAGAGCGGAUGAAGCAGGCGGAAUGAGUAGUGUAGCGGUGAAAUGCUUAGAUAUCACGAAGAACACCGAUUGCGAAGGCAGCUUGCUAAUCCGUAUCUGACGCUGAUGCACGAAAGCGUGGGUAGCGAACAGGAUUAGAUACCCGGGUAGUC